AGUCCUAUAUAUGGGAGUCUGUGUACAGUCUGAGAGGAAGUGUAAGCUUCGUCCGCACCUGAUCUGGGUAAUGCCAGCGUAGGAAUCAUACCGAAAAAAGUG
rnacentral:ncRNA from 1 species